rnacentral:rRNA from 1 species
GACGAACGCUGGCGGCGUGCUUAACACAUGCAAGUCGAACGGAAAGGCCCUGCUUUUGUGGGGUGCUCGAGUGGCGAACGGGUGAGUAACACGUGAGUAACCUGUACUUGACUGUGGGAUAACUUCAGGAAACUGGGGCUAAUACCGGCUAGGAGCUCUUGCUGCAUGGUGGGCGUUGGAUAGUUUCGGUGGUUGGGGAUGGACUGGCGGCUUAUCAGCUUGGUGGGGAGGUAGUGGCUUACCAAGGCUUUGAGGGGUAGCCGGGCUGGGAGGGUGACCGGCCAAAUCGGGACGGAGAUACGGCACAGACUACAACGGUAGGCAGCAGUGGGGAAUAGUGCACAAGGGGCUGAAGCCAGAUGCGACAACGCCGCGUGCGGGAUGACGGCAUUCGGGUUGUGUUCCGCUUUCGCCUGUGACGAGGCGAGAGUGACGGUAAUGGGUAAAGAAGCACCGGCUAACUACGUG